rnacentral:rRNA from 2 species
ACGGUCCUAAGGUAGCGAAAUUCCUUGUCGGGUAAGUUCCGACCCGCACGAAAGGUGUAACGAUUUGGGCACUGUCUCAACGAGGGACCCGGUGAAAUUGAAAUACCUGUGAAGAUGCAGGUUACCCGCGACUGGACAGAAAGACCCCAUGGAGCUUUACUGUAACCUGACAUUGGGUUUUGUUGUAUUACGUACAGGAUAGGUGGGAGGCUUGGAAGGCUGGACGCUAGUCUGGCUGGAGCCGGCGUUGGGAUACCACCCUUGAUACAACGGAAUUCUAACCGAGAGAGUAACGAAAUCCGGGACAGUGUCAGGCGGGCAGUUUGACUGGGGCGGUCGCCUCCGAAAGAGUAACGGAGGCGCCCAAAGGUUCCCUCAGCGCGGCCGGAAAUCGCGCGAAGAGUGUAAAGGCAGAAGGGAGCUUGACUGCGAGCCAAACACGGCGAGCAGGUACGAAAGUAGGGCUUAGUGAUCCGGUGGUACCGAGUGGAAGGGCCAUCGCUCAACGGAUAAAAGCUACCCUGGGGAUAACAGGCUAAUCUCUCCCAAGAGUCCAUAUCGACGGGGAGGUUUGGCACCUCGAUGUCGGCUCAUCACAUCCUGGGGCUGAAGUCGGUCCCAAGGGUUGGGCUGUUCGCCCAUUAAAGUGGUACGUGAGCUGGGUUCAGAACGUCGUGAGACAGUUCGGUCCCUAUCCAUCGCGGGCGCAAGAGAUUUGAAGGGGUCUGCUCCUAGUACGAGAGGACCGGAGUGGACGGACCGCUGGUGUACCAGUUAUUCCGCCAGGAGUACAGCUGGGUAGCUACGUCCGGACUGGAUAAACGCUGAAAGCAUCUAAGCGUGAAGCCAUCCUUAAGAUGAGAUCUCUCACAGAGUAAUCUGGUAAGACACCUUAAAGAAGAUGAGGUAGAUAGGCCGGGAGUGUAAGUGCAGCAAUGUAUUGAGCUGACCGGUACUAAUAUGUCGAGGGCUUGACUUC